rnacentral:rRNA from 1 species
CCCUUAGAUGUCCUGGGCCGCACGCGUGCUACACUGAUGCAUACAGCGAGUACUCCCAGCUCCGAGAGGCUGCUGGUAAUCAGCAAUAUGCAUCGUGAUGGGGAUAGAUCUUUGGAAUUAUAGAUCUUGAACGAGGAAUUCCUAGUAAUCGCAGGUCACCACCCUGCGUUGACUAAGUCCCUGCCCUUUGUACACACCGCCCGUCGCUCCUACCGAUUUCGAGUGAUCCGGUGAAUCAUUCGGACCGCGGCCCCUAGGCAUGCGGAAAGUCUAGUAAACCAUAUCACUUAGAGGAAGGAGAAGUCGUAACA